AAGUAUUACAACAACCACUGUUAACUUGAUAAUAGUAAAUGUUCAUUUUUAGUGUAUCAAGUAGACAUUGGUUGUACUUUGCCAUCAUUUUUCAUUUUUAUUUCUCUAAACUUGAGCUUGUAACCACAAAGGAGGAAAACAUACAUGUGAGAUUUCGUUUGUAGUUUGAGUAUGAUAACAUGUGAAAUAAUAUUAUAAAUGGAUUUUAUCUUUUUUGUUCUUAUGAUUUUUCUCUAUUUCUUUUUCAAAUUUUAUGUUUUUCCAUUUUAUUAUGUAAGUUUCACUAAAUUAUUAUUUAUUGACUAAACUUUUCAACAAACUCAAGUUACACUAUGUAUUUUAAUUAUUUUUUUCUUUUUAGUGUUUGUUUACAUGAUUCUCUCUAAAUCUAGAUCUUG
rnacentral:lncRNA from 1 species